ensembl:lncRNA novel transcript, antisense to CCDC141and TTN
CUGACCCUGCAGGGUUGGCACGGCAGCAGCUGCUAGAGGAGCGGUUCUGGAGCAAAUGGGCAUAUUCCCCUUUCUGACCCUGCCAAAUAUAAGACCUUCAGCCUACUCCAUCCAAGGCAUCCAUCUGUCUUCAGAAGAGAUUAGAAUUUUGUUCUGAAGCCAUGCAAAGAGUAAGACCAAGUGCUAACAUCCAAUUUGCAUGUGCCGGGAGAGAAAAUUCUUCAUGGAUCUCUGGUGCUCCUACACAUCUCACUGAUGGAUUUCUUGUCUAAAUGAAGAGAAGCAGCUCUUCCCCAUGGAUGAUCAUCAAAAACCAUAAGAUUCACUUUCUCUUCCUAUUUUUAAACAUCUAGGUGUUUCAGGAUAUCACGGUCUUUGAUGUCUUCUUCUCAAGCAAGUGUCAAUGAGUCAAGAUGAAGAUGCCAUCUGAAAUUUCUAUUCUAUGAAUGACAUCUGGAUAUUGAUUUCCUGAAAUUUUCUUGAAACUACACCUUGUCCUCUCUAUGAGGAUACACCUCCAACAGCCACAAAGAAGCCAGCCUAGCUCUCAGUCCAGGUACCAACUAUCCAGGAGAAUCAUUACUUCCUCUCAGGCAGCUUCAAGGCUGAAACAAUGGCCCAUGACUUCUGUCUCUCCUCAAUCAAUUCCCUCACUGGAGUUCUUCCCCUGAACAAAGACCAGCUUGUUCAUUUGCAUUUCAUUGGCAGAUAAUAUUACUUGAGAUAUCAUUCAAUUUGUUAUUUUUAUCUUAACAUACACGGGGGUGGGGAGGAGAAAAAGAAAUUAAGCAAACUGUGAAUGUCCCUUUGUUCAGUGUUAUCUGUUUCUGUUAACUAUGUAAGAUGUUGGUAGAUGGCAAACAAACUCCCUGAGAAAAAAACAGUGGGAGUUUUCAUAUGAAAGUGUUCAGAGAGUGGUUCAAUGAUCACUCUGCAAGAUAUUGUAGGAAAUAUCUGCACCCAUCUGAGAGAUUAACUGGAUGCCUUCUAAGGACCCAUCUAUUUCCAUGGUUUAGUGAUACAAUAAUUAAUUAAUUUAUGCAACAGAUAAUGAGUAUUUACCAUUUGCAAGGCACAAGGAGUAGCUGAAAUCUAGAAACUUUGCAUGUGAAAUGUUUAACUUUUUUGUCUAACACAUUUCGUACAAGGGUUUAAAAUUAGAUCCAGGGUUGGCGAGAGACAUAUAAUAUCUAAGACGUUAUUGAAAUACAAGAAUAAAACCAUUGUUUUCACUGUUGAAGAGAAGGAAUGUUUCCUCACUUGGUAAUGUAAAAUUUGUUUUUGCCAUUAAAGACUGAUUUUUCUUUCUACAUUAAACAUAUUAAACUCUAAUAGGAAAAUUAAGCCACCUAUUGAUUUUUUUCUUUUCUUUUUGCCAAUAGAAUAACACUUUUCUUCUCUCUCAGUAGAACCCUCCUUCCAUGUGAGAAACCAAUGACACAGGAUUUUGGGAAGGAUCAACCUGCUCCUUCACCCACUGACAAGGGAAAGUAAUGACAUAGGGCCAGCUCCAUAAGAGUUGCCAUCCCCCUUGUCAAUGAGUUGAUGGGCCCAAGGAUGAAAACAUGAUUGAUUCAAGGAUGGAAAAUGAUUAAAGUCUGGAAAAUCAGGUUCCACAGAAUCUUUUCUGCUGAGGGUAUCUGUAAAGAUUCUAUUCACUAGUUACAAAUUUGGUAAGAUGUGAGCUUGGUGUAGCUGACUGGCCAUACCAUCAGCUAUGUGUAGACAGACUGUCCAUGAGCUGGAGAGACAGAACCUUGACAAUGUUACAGUAUUCCUGUAUUCAGCCUUCUUCUAACUUGGUCUCCUACUUAUGCAAAUAAACACAGAGACCUAAUCCACAUUUUUCAUGGCUUCUCCAAACUGAACUUAAUAAACAUGUGAAGUAAAUUGAAAUCUUUAAAUCACCUCUGUUUAUCAAAAGUAUUGCAUCUGAUAAACAUCAUUAUUUAGCUGCUUUAAAAUGCAUGUUACUUUGGAACAUGGUUUUUGAACAGAGUCAACUGUCAAUUCCUGAAGAUCAGCUCUGUUUCCCCAAUAUCCACCUUCUGACUGCCCAUUCAGCACCUCUCUAGACACAAAAUGUCUAAAUGAGAUUUUUAUUUUAAAUGGGUGAGGGUCAGAAACAAAUAAUUUUUUUAAAAAAUUUAAUGUCAAAUAAGGGUCUUGGUUUUGACAUCUAUAAUAAAACCUCAACUAAUGAAUGCAAUAAUACUAUCUCUUCUUUUACCAAGCAAAAAGAUUAAAUGUUUUAAAACAUUUCUUUCAAAAUAUGUUUGAAAUAAACAAC